ACCAGGCCUUGACAUGCAGAGAACUUUCCAGAGAUGGAUUGUGCCUUCGGGAACUCUGACACAGGUGCUGCAUGGCUGUAGUCAGCUCGUGUCGUGAGAUGUUGGGUUAAGUCCCGUAACGAGCGCAACCCUUGUCCUUAGUUACCAGCACGUUAUGGUGGGCACUCUAAGGAGACUGCCGGUGACAAACCGGAGGAAGGUGGGGAUGACGUCAAGUCAUCAUGGCCCUUACGGCCUGGGCUACACACGUGCUACAAUGGUCGGUACAAAGGGUUGCCAAGCCGCGAGGUGGAGCUAAUCCCAUAAAACCGAUCGUAGUCCGGAUCGCAGUCUGCAACUCGACUGCGUGAAGUCGGAAUCGCUAGUAAUCGUGAAUCAGAAUGUCACGGUGAAUACGUUCCCGGGCCUU
rnacentral:rRNA from 1 species